GGCUCGGCGCCCUGAAGGGGGGCUUCAACAGUAGCAGCCCCUCCCCCGGGCCCUUCCGGGAACCCCCGACAGGCCGGAAAGGAACCCGACCGGGCUCCGGAGGAAAAGCCGAAGAAAUGGAUCAUUGGAUGCUGCUAAGCAGCCAGCGGGCCAGGACUCCUAUGUUACGAUCUGGACCUGUCCUUUUUGGCAGAAUGGAGCCUUAUUUUCCUCAUCUGUAAAAUGGAGAUAUUAGUUCCCAUCUCGGAGAGUGAUGGUCCAGCUGGCAUGAGAAUUUCAUGAGAUGGCUGAAUGUUAAUCAUCUUCACAAACAGAAGCCGUCAGGGUGGAAAGAGCAAGGUGGGAGGUAGGUACACACAAGUUUCGGCAAGAUGCGGAGACAGCCUUUGUUCCCACACGGGUACUCACAAAGGCUGCAGUGCAUGCAGCUUUACAAAGGGGCUUUGAGCAUUUUUUGCCUUACUUGAGUAUGUGGUUAGAAAUCAGGAGAGGAAGGGGAGAUGGGAGAGAACACACAGGGCAGUGCUGGGAGCCCUGAUGCUUAGAUGCACCAGGCAAAUUCCCUCUACCUGCCCCUUCAAGAACUCAGUGUCAGGGAGCCUGGGUGGCUUAGUGGGUUAAGCGUCUGACUUUGGCCCAGGUCAUGAUCUCACAGUUCGUGAGUCUGAGCCCUGCGUUGGCUCUGUGAUGACAGCUCAGAGCCUGGAGCCUGCUUUGGAUUCUCUCUCUGCCACUCUCCUGCUUGCGCUCUGUCUCUCCCUCUCUCUCUCAAAACUAAAUAAACAGUAAUAAAAUAAAUAAAUCAAAAAAAGAACUCAGUGUCACCAGAGGGUGGGGUUCUGGUGUCUGUGAAAUUUGGCUGCAGGGUCUAAAUGAAAUUGAGCUUCAGGCCAGAAGAAUUUUUAUGAAACUAAAACCAGACCAGCUCCCAAACCUGCUUCUGAGGCCCCAGUGAUCCCUUAUGAUUCCCUUUUGCUUUGACUGCCAGGAAUCUCAGAGCUAAAUUUAGCACUCAGUAGUGAUAAUCCUUUUAUCUUUUUCCCUCCCUUUGAGUGACAGCUAAUCCCUCUCCUCAUUUAAAAGAUUCUGUUCUGUGAGUUUUAAUAUUGGGAACUAUCUCAAAUUCUUUGGGGGAAACAAGCAGUGUAUAAAUUAUUAAUAAGUCUAUAAACCAGCCUGAGGUCUUAAGGCCCUUGCUGAGGCUUAUGGCAGAUAAUCAGUUAUGUCCCAGACCAGAUAUGACUUCACAAUGGGAAGUAGAGGCUUGGGAGAGAGCAGAUACUUAGCCCGUACCCAACAC